rnacentral:rRNA from 1 species
UCAUAAAUCAGUAUCGUUAUUGAUAGUACCUUACUACUGGAUAACCGUGGUAAUCUAGAGCUAAUACAUGCUGAAAACCCCAACUUCGGGAGGGGUGUAUUUAUUAGAUAAAAAACCAACGCCYUUCGGGGCUUCUUGGUGAUUCAUGAUAACUUCACGGAUCGCAUGGCCUUGCGCCGGCGACGGUUCAUUCAAAUUUCUGCCCUAUCAACUUUCGAUGGUAAGGUAUUGGCUUACCAUGGUUUCAACGGGUAACGGGGAAUUAGGGUUCGAUUCCGGAGAGGGAGCCUGAGAAACGGCUACCACAUCCAAGGAAGGCAGCAGGCGCGCAAAUUACCCAAUCCCGACACGGGGAGGUAGUGACAAUAAAUACUGAUACAGGGCUCUUUUGGGUCUUGUAAUUGGAAUGAGUACAAUUUAAACCUCUUAACGAGGAACAAUUGGAGGGCAAGUCUGGUGCCAGCAGCCGCGGUAAUUCCAGCUCCAAUAGCGUAUAUUAAAGUUGUUGCAGUUAAAAAGCUCGUAGUUGAAACUUGGGCCUGGCUGGCAGGUCCGCCUCACCGCGUGUACUUGUCCGGCCGGGCCUUUCCUUCUGGAGAACCUCAUGCCCUUCACUGGGUGUGUUGGGGAACCAGGACUUUUACUUUGAAAAAAUUAGAGUGUUCAAAGCAGGCCUUUGCUCGAAUACGUUAGCAUGGAAUAAUAGAAUAGGACGUGCGGUCCUAUUUUGUUGGUUUCUAGGACCGCCGUAAUGAUUAAUAGGGACAGUCGGGGGCAUCAGUAUUCAAUUGUCAGAGGUGAAAUUCUUGGAUUUAUUGAAGACUAACUACUGCGAAAGCAUUUGCCAAGGAUGUUUUCAUUAAUCAGUGAACGAAAGUUAGGGGAUCGAAGACGAUCAGAUACCGUCGUAGUCUUAACCGUAAACUAUGCCGACUAGGGAUCGGGCGAUGUUCUUUUUCUGACUCGCUCGGCACCUUACGAGAAAUCAAAG